rnacentral:lncRNA from 1 species
UUGAAGUGGCUUCUCUCUUCUUUGUCAAGGAUGCUUCACUCUUCAAGGGAGGAUGGAGCUCUUGAUGACUCUUUGAAUCUGCUCAACCCCUUUCUUUGAUUCUUGAAUGAAGCACUUGGAUGAAGAAGAUUAGGGCACUUUUGUUUUCUUGUGUACUCUUUGAUAUUCCUUGCAAAAGUAGUUCUAUCUGAUGAAUAGUGCCACUUUAAAUAGUCUCCUACAUCCAUUGGACAAGCCCCAAUGGUUAGAAUUCAAAAACUAGCCGUUACUGACUUUGGGAAGGACAAAAAGUACAUCUGCAGAACUAGCCGUUAUGCUUCAGCCCGUGUUUGGGUCGGCUCAACCUGUCCUUGGGUCGACCCAACUUUCACUUGGGUCGACUCAAACAUUCCUUGGGUCGACCCUCUCAGAAAACACAGAAACUUGAAUUUCAGCCUUCCUUCCCAUGGGUCGACCCAACCAUUCUUUGGGUCGACUCAAAGUUCACUUGGGUCGACUCAACUUCUACUUG